GUAGGUGGCAAGCGUUGUCCGGAAUUAUUGGGCGUAAAGCGCGCGCAGGGCGGUCCUUUAAGUCUGGGUGUGAAAGCCCACGGGCUCAACCGUGGAGGGUCAUUGGAAACUGGGGGACUUGAGUACAGAAGAGGAAGGCGGAAUUCCAAGUGUAGCGGUGAAAUGCGUAGAGAUUUGGAGGAACACCAGUGGCGAAGGCGGCUUUCUGGUCUGUAACUGACGCUGAGGCGCGAAAGCGUGGGGAGCAAACAGGAUUAGAUACCCUGGUAGUCCACGCCGUAAACGAUGAGUGCUAAGUGUUAGGGGGUUUCCGCCCCUUAGUGCUGCAGCUAACGCAUUAAGCACUCCGCCUGGGGAGUACGGCCGCAAAGGCUG
rnacentral:rRNA from 1 species